UUAGAGUUUGAUCCUGGCUCAGGAUGAACGCUAGCGGGAGGCUUAACACAUGCAAGUCGAGCGGUAAGGCCCCUUCGGGGGUACACGAGCGGCGCACGGGUGCGUAACGCGUAUGCAACCUGCCUUAUGCAGGGGGAUAGCCCAUGGAAACGUGGAUUAAUACCCCAUAACAUCACGAAUCUGCAUGGAUAUGUGAUUAAAAUUACGAUGGCAUAAGAUGGGCAUGCGUCUGAUUAGUUAGUUGGUGAGGUAACGGCUCACCAAGGCGACGAUCAGUAGGGGUCCUGAGAGGGUUACCCCCCACACUGGUACUGAGACACGGACCAGACUCCUACGGGAGGCAGCAGUGAGGAAUAUUGGUCAAUGGGCGCGAGCCUGAACCAGCCAUCCCGCGUGCAGGAUGACGGCCCUAUGGGUUGUAAACUGCUUUUCUACGCCAAGAACGGGCCGUACGCGUACGGCAUUGACGGUAGCGUAGGAAUAAGCAUCGGCUAACUCCGUGCCAGCAGCCGCGGUAAUACGGAGGAUGCAAGCGUUAUCCGGAUUCAUUGGGUUUAAAGGGUGCGCAGGCGGGGAUGUAAGUCAGUGGUGAAAUACUGCCGCUUAACGGUAGGAUUGCCAUUGAUACUGCAUUUCUUGAGUGUGGUUGAGGUAGGCGGAAUGUGCAGUGUAGCGGUGAAAUGCAUAGAGAUUGCACAGAACACCGAUUGCGAAGGCAGCUUACUAAGC
rnacentral:rRNA from 1 species